rnacentral:rRNA from 1 species
CAAUAGCGUAUAUUAAAGUUGUUGCAGUUAGAACGCUCGUAGUCGGAUUUCGGGGCGGACCGACCGGUCUGCCGAUGGGUAUGCACUGGUCGGCGCGUCCUUCCUUCCGGAGACCGUCCCUACUCUUAACUGAGCGGGGGCGGGAGACGGGACUUUUACUUUGAAAAAAUCAGAGUGUUUCAAGCAGGCAGCUCGCUCUUGCAUGGAUUAGCAUGGGAUAAUGAAAUAGGACUUUGGUGCUAUUUUGUUGGUUUCGAACACCGAAGUAAUGAUGAGAAGGGACAGUCAGGGGCACUCGUAUUCCGCCGAGAGAGGUGAAAUUCUCAGACCAGCGGAAGACGAACCACUGCGAAAGCAUUUGCCAGGGAUGUUUUCACUGA